GCGCCGAUGGUACUGCAGGGGGGACCCUGUGGGAGAGUAGGACACCGCCGGAC
rnacentral:rRNA from 1 species